UGCAAGUCGAGCGGUAACAGAAAGAAAGCUUGCUUUCUUUGCUGACGAGCGGCGGACGGGUGAGUAAUGCCUGGGAAAUUGCCUUGAUGUGGGGGAUAACCAUUGGAAACGAUGGCUAAUACCGCAUAAUGCCUUCGGGCCAAAGAGGGGGACCUUCGGGCCUCUCGCGUCAAGAUAUGCCCAGGUGAGAUUAGCUUGUUGGUGAGGUAAGAGCUCACCAAGGCGACGAUCUCUAGCUGGUCUGAGAGGAUGAUCAGCCACAUUGGGACUGAGACACGGCCCAAACUCCUACGGGAGGCAGCAGUGGGGAAUAUUGCACAAUGGGCGCAAGCCUGAUGCAGCCAUGCCGCGUGUAUGAAGAAGGCCUUCGGGUUGUAAAGUACUUUCAGCAGUGAGGAAGGGGUGUGUUUAAUAGACACAUUCUUGACGUUAGCUGCAGAAGAAGCACCGGCUAACUCCGUGCCAGCAGCCGCGGUAAUACGGAGGGUGCGAGCGUUAAUCGGAAUUACUGGGCGUAAAGCGCAUGCAGGUGGUCUGUUAAGUCAGAUGUGAAAGCCCGAGGCUUAACCUCGGAAUAGCAUUUGAAACUGGCAGGCUAGAGUACUGUAGAGGGGGGUAGAAUUUCAGGUGUAGCGGUGAAAUGCGUAGAGAUCUGAAGGAAUACCAGUGGCGAAGGCGGCCCCCUGGACAGAUACUGACACUCAGAUGCGAAAGCGUGGGGAGCAAACAGGAUUAGAUACCCUGGUAGUCCACGCCGUAAACGAUGUCUACUUGGAGGUUGUGGCCUUGAGCCGUGGCUUUCGGAGCUAACGCGUUAAGUAGACCGCCUGGGGAGUACGGUCGCAAGAUUAAAACUCAAAUGAAUUGACGGGGGCCCGCACAAGCGGUGGAGCAUGUGGUUUAAUUC
rnacentral:rRNA from 1 species